GAAAUGCGAUAAGUAAUGUGAAUUGCAGAAUUCAGUGAACCAUCGAAUCUUUGAACGCAUAUUGCGUCCCUUGGCAUUCCGAGGGGCAUACCUGUUCGAGCGUCAUUUCACCACUCAAGCGUCGCUUGGUGUUGGGCGUGCAGCCCCGGGGAGGGGCUCGCCUGAAAUGCGUCGGCGGCGGCGGUUCCGGCUCAGGCGUAGUGGAACCUAAACCAGGCUCGCCUUGGAGGUCGGAGCGCCGCCCGCCGCGGGGUACGUGAUUCUCAAGGUUGACCUCGGAUCAGGUAGGAGUACCCGCUGAACUUAA
rnacentral:misc_RNA from 1 species